UACGGGGGGGGCAAGCGUUGUUCGGAAUUACUGGGCGUAAAGGGCGCGUAGGCGGCCUUUUAAGUCAGACGUGAAAUCCCUCGGCUUAACCGGGGAACUGCGUCUGAUACUGGAUGGCUUGAGUUUGGGAGAGGGAUGCGGAAUUCCAGGUGUAGCGGUGAAAUGCGUAGAUAUCUGGAGGAACACCGGUGGCGAAGGCGGCAUCCUGGACCAACACUGACGCUGAGUGAGCGAAAGCCAGGGGAGCAAACGGG
rnacentral:rRNA from 1 species